GAACGCUGGCGGCGUGCUUGACACAUGCAAGUCGAACGGAGAGGUUAGGGGUAGAAAUUCUGGAGCGGCUGGAAGGUGAGAAAUCGUCGGAAGGCGGCGAAGGGAUGGAAGCCCCGCUAUCUCUCAGUGGCGAACGGGUGAGUAACGCAUGGGUAAUCUGCCUCAAAGAGGGGAACAACUGCCCGAAAGGGCUUGUAAUUCCGCAUAUGUUCCACAUCUGGGAUGGUGUGGAAGAAAGGGCUUCGAGCCGCUUUGAGAGGAGCCCGUGUCCGAUUAGCUAGUUGGCGAGGGUAAAGGCCCACCAAGGCAUAUCGGUAGCUGGUCUGAGAGGACGAUCAGCCACACUGGAACUGAGACACGGUCCAGACUCCUACGGGAGGCAGCAGUGAGGGAUAUUGCACAAUGGGGGCAACCCUGAUGCAGCGACGCCGCGUGAGCGAAGAAGGCCUUCGGGUUGUAAAGCUCUUUUCUGGGGGAUGAGGAAGGACAGUACCCCAGGAACAAGUCUCGGCUAACUACGUGCCAGCAGCCGCGGUAAAACGUAGGAGGCGAGCGUUAUCCGGAUUUAUUGGGCGUACAGGGCAAGUAGGCGGUAGGUCAAGUCGGGCGUGACAGAUCUCGGCUC
rnacentral:rRNA from 1 species